GCCGGGCGUGGUGGCGGGUGCCUGUAGUCCCAGCUACUCGGGAGGCUGAGGCGGGAGAAUGGCGUGAACCCGGAAGGCAGAGCUUGCAGUGAGCCGAGAUCGUGCCACUGCACUCCAGCCUGGGCAACAGAGUGAGACUCUGUUUCCAAAAAAAUAAAAAAAUAAAAAAAAAGUGAAGUAGGUGCACCAAUCUUUUUUUUUUUUGAGACAGAGUUUUGCUCUGUCGCCCAGGCUAGAGUGCAGUGGCACAAUCUCGGCUCACUGCAAGCUCUGCCUCCCGGGUUCACCCUAUUCUCCCGCCUCAG
rnacentral:SRP_RNA from 2 species